UAUGCUUAUGAUGAUACUAUUCACUUGUUAUGAUUUUAUUUUCAAGUGAUUUUUUAUUACAUGCACUACCAACUGAAGCAUA